rnacentral:rRNA from 1 species
UACGUAGGGUGCGAGCGUUGUCCGGAAUUAUUGGGCGUAAAGAGCUUGUAGGCGGUUUGUCGCGUCUGCCGUGAAAAUCCGAGACUCAACCUCGGACUUGCGGUGGGUACGGGCAGGCUAGAGUGUGGUAGGGGAGAUCGGAAUUCCUGGUGUAGCGGUGAAAUGCGCAGAUAUCAGGAGGAACACCGGUGGCGAAGGCGGAUCUCUGGGCCAUUACUGACGCUGAGGAGCGAAAGCGUGGGGAGCGAACAGG